UACGAGAGGCCCAAACGUUAUUCGGAAUUACUGGGCUUAAAGAGUUCGUAGGCGGCAUGAAAAGUAGGGUGUGAAAGCCCUCGGCUCAACCGAGGAAUUGCGCUCUAAACUGUCGUGCUCGAGGAAUCUAGAGGUGAGCGGAACUGAUGGUGGAGCGGUGAAAUGCGUUGAUAUCAUCAGGAACACCGGAGGCGAAGGCGGCUCACUGGGGAUUUUCUGACGCUGAGGAACGAAAGCCAGGGAG
rnacentral:rRNA from 1 species